rnacentral:lncRNA from 1 species
AUGGAAAAAAUAACCAAGUUCAUCAGAGAUGAAGGAUCUGUCUUUCGUUAUUACAGGAUAUUUAUUGGAGGACUGCUGGGAAUUUUCCUAGCUCUGGUAGACGAGACUGCUGGCAGAGUUGACCUUAACAGAGACAUGGACCUGCUUUUCAAAGGUCUCUACGGACACGCAGCUGUCAGUCAAUUCAACAGGGAUUUCCAGAAUUUCAUGUGUAUUCUGAGUGGCAAUAUUAAAGUUAGUGAAAACCUUGCUUACUUCUGUCUCUAAAAUAAAGCAUAUGUUUUCUAUGGGGAGAUGGAUGCA